rnacentral:tRNA from 1 species
GAUAGCUCAGUUGGUUAGAGCAUGGUGCUGGUAAUGCUAAGGUUGCAAGUUUGAUCCCUGUAUGGGAUGGCU